AACUGUACGAUAACGUUACAUCAAGUAGACAUAGUGGUAGGUGUCAGGAAGCCGGUGGUUGCUGCGAACCGGUCAGCUACUAUGAUUGAAAUACGGUAACCGAGUUUCGACUGAACGGAUAAUAACUAGAACCGUUAUCUUCUAGUGAGUGGUGGAUUAAGUGUCAAUAAUCCGCAACCUGGGUGGUACCGCGACUAGUCUAAUCGUCCCUGUU
rnacentral:ncRNA from 1 species